CUUAGGAAACCUUGUCUUGAGAAGAAAAUUGACAAAGAGCUGGACAAUCAUGGCACUGGUGGCAGGGGCUGAUUAACGGCUUCCAAUCCCUGUGGCUGAGGAGCACAUGAUGCCACCACCACCAUGGUUUACUGUAGGGAUGGUAUUGGACAGAUGACAAAAGGUUCUCCCAUCUCUGCACAGGACUCAGUGUCUUUUGAAGUGACCACCUGGUUCUUUUGUCCUAACUGACCAGGGCCAGUCAACUCUUUGAAUAUUGUGUCAAAAGAUCAAAAGAGUUCCAUGGAGAACAACUUUAUGGAUGAUCAAGCUGUGUAUGUGGGUGUGCAUGUGACAUUUGAAAAGUACAUG